rnacentral:rRNA from 1 species
AUUAAACGCUGGCGGCAUGCCUUACACAUGCAAGUCGAACGGUAACAGGUCUUCGGAUGCUGACGAGUGGCGAACGGGUGAGUAAUACAUCGGAACGUGCCUAGUAGUGGGGGAUAACUACUCGAAAGAGUGGCUAAUACCGCAUGAGAUCUACGGAUGAAAGCAGGGGAUCGCAAGACCUUGUGCUACUAGAGCGGCCGAUGGCCGAUUAGGUAGUUGGUGGGAUAAAAGCUUACCAAGCCGACGAUCUGUAGCCGGUCUGAGAGGACGAUCGGCCAAACUGGGACUGAGAAACGGACCAGACUCCUACGGGAGGCAGCAGUGGGGAAUUUUGGACAAUGGGCGCAAGCGUGAUCCAGCAAUGCCGCGUGCAGGAUGAAGGCCUUCGGGUUGUAAACUGCUUUUGUACGGAACGAAAAGCCCCGGGUUAAUACCCUGGGGUCAUGACGGUACCGUAAGAAUAAGCACCGGCUAACUACGUGCCAGCAGCCGCCGCGG